rnacentral:lncRNA from 1 species
GAAGAUGAUGUGAAAUUUCAUUCUUUAUAUAGUCAAAUAAGGCAGAGCAUCGUAUCAAUAGCACAAACUCUGGAAACAUCAUGAAGGUAAGAAUGAAGGUGUUGGACAUACAUAGUUGAAUACCACAGAUAUUACUAAGAAACUUCUCAGAAGACCAAAAUGGAUGAUGUUAUUUUUUUACCAACAAAUCAUCAGUUUUAAACAUAAAGUCCUGAGGAAGAGCAAGUGUGCAAAUGCUGACUUUGCUAAUAAUCUGUUUCCUGCUGGGCUCCAGUGUUUGUGAUCCAUCUCCUUCUAGAGUUUAUUCCCAAAGAGUAUUUUAGAAAAGCUUACUUAUAUAGAAUGGCCUAGAAAUUUCAUGAAAUUAUUCUGGGAGCAAAUCCAGAUAGUGAAAACUGUGGGAUAUAUUCUUGUUUAUGGAUAUUGAAAAGAACCAUUGAUUAUGGCAGUGUGCUCCCAAGAUACUGAAUAUAUAUCCCUAGAGGAGUAGAGGGAAAUCUUGUCAGUGAUGUGUCACAGUUUAAGCAAAUUUGGUCAGGAAUCACAGCACAACUACAGCAAUAAUAUUUUUUUUACAUUACCCUUCAAAUGAUAUGAGCACAUCUCCAUCUAAAAGCAAGAGUAUAUGCUUUCAGUAAAGUGUAAUUGUCCUAGCAGUCCUCAUGUAGGAGAAUAUGCCUUAUGCAUGUGUAGUUACAUAGGAGAGCAAAUGAUGCUCAGUGUUUUCUUUUUGUGAUUACACUGGGAGGGAUUUAUGCAUUAAGGUACUAAUCUUAAGGGUAAACUUCCUUGUGAUAGCAUGUAAAUAGAGCUCUAGGUUUAUGUUUUGUCUGCUAAGAGAAGGAUGAACUCCCUGAACAAAACAGAACAAGAAGUGGAAGGAUUUGGAAGGUUUUUGUGUUCAUGCACAGGAUGAGGUUUUGCAUCUGCUGAAUGCAGGUGUGCUCUAUACCAUAUAUUUGCUGCUGUGGAUGACCAGUGCCUGUGCACUUGCUCCUAGGGGCUGCUUGUUCUGUACUCUAGAGAGGCCUUGGUUUCCUGUUGAACCUCUGCCUUUGCCAGCUCCCUGUUUUGUCCUGAUGCCCAAUGCAGCAGUAAGUGGAAUGGGAGACACUGCACGAGGAUGGCCAUUGCUGAAGUGCAUGUGUUGCAUCACGUGUUGCUCAUCAGGUAUGUAUAGGAGAGACUUGAAAGAGGAUUAUUUCUUGCUGGAGCUUUAAACUGAGAGCCCAUUAUGGAACCUUUUGAGGUGAGCUUCGCUGGCUUUAGAGAACUUAAAAUAGUAGAAAUAGUAAGAUACUAAGAUAGGAUUUUUAAAACUUAGAGCUACUUCUUUUGCCUUCUCGAGCAUGAUCUGAUAAAACUUUAGUAAAAAUGCCCAGAUGGACAGCUUUUCUUGCAUGCAUCAGCCUUUAUAUCAUUAUGUAGUAAUGUCUAAGAUCAGCUGUGAGUCAGUUUU